GACUAAUGCUGACGGUGUGCAUAAUACAUGCAAGUCGAACGUGCAAUACGGAAGUAGCAAUACUUUUGUAAAGCAAGUGGCGAACGGGUGAGUAACGCGUGGAUAAUCUGCCUUAAAGAUUGGGAUAACUCUUCGAAAGGAGGGCUAAUACCAAAUAUUUUAUAAUCUUCCAUGAAGAUUAUAACAAAGGUAGCCGCAAGGCUUCCGCUUUAAGAUGAGUCCGCGUCCUAUUAGCUUGUUGGUGGGGUAACAGCCUACCAAGGCUAUGAUGGGUAGCCGGUCUGAGAGGACGGACGGCCACACUGGGACUAAGAUACGGCCCAGACUCCUACGGGAGGCAGCAGUAGGGGAUCUUGCACAAUGGGCGAAAGCCUGAUGCAGCGACGCCGCGUGAGCGAAGAAGGCCUUCGGGUUGUUAAGACUCUGUCUGGAGGGACGGAACAAAAUAGACGGUACCGUCCGGAGGGAAGCCACGGCUAACUACGUGCCAGCAGCCGCGGUAAGAUCACG
rnacentral:rRNA from 1 species